UGGGGCACAGUCCGGCACAACUGAAGAUGGGUGGGUUUUUCUCCCGCAGAUGAAGGCUCGGGUUUGGGAGCGGAAAAUGCAGCAGCAGAUCAGGGAGAACGCCUACCUUACACACAGACUGCACAUGAUGAAAGGAGAGAUGCAUCCUGAGGGAUGCAUGAGGCAGGAAGCGAUGCGGGGAAGACCUGAGAUGCGGAGAGGUCCACGGAAAGUGCAUUGGUCUGAUGCUGAAGCUGGUGGGGCUCCCAUGAGGAACAACGGCACUGAGCCUAAUAGAGACCCAGGGAUGCACAAGGUAACUACUAUGGCCUUUUCCAGUUGUUUGGAAGCUUCCCCUUUUGAGCAACCCUGUCCUGGCCUUGUGUCUGUUGGGUGGGUCCUCCAGUUUGUCUGUGGCGUUGUUCACCUCUCAGAAUACAAGCAGCUCACCCAGGGGCUGACAGGCUUCUCUGUUACGAAUCAUGAUCUUUGGGGGCCCCUCCUGAAGCCACAGGUGGUUAGAGGUGAAGGAUGGCAGGACACUCAUUGU